AAGCACCAUGUGAAGCUGCUCU
rnacentral:miRNA from 2 species